rnacentral:rRNA from 1 species
ACCAACAGCCAUAUUACCCUGAAACUCACAGCUGGCAACCCACUGAAGCUCAGCAGGUGUGAGCCUGGUCAGUACUUGGAGGAGAGACCUCAUGGGAAAGAUUAGGUUGCUGUUAAUG